rnacentral:rRNA from 1 species
UGCAGUCGAGCGCACCCUUCGGGGCGAGCGGCGGACGGGUUAGUAACGCGUGGGAACAUACCCUUUGGUACGGAAUAGCCUCUGGAAACGGAGAGUAAUACCGUAUGUGCCCUUCGGGGGAAAGAUUUAUCGCCAAAGGAUUGGCCCGCGUUAGAUUAGAUAGUUGGUGGGGUAAUGGCCUACCAAGUCUACGAUCUAUAGCUGGUUUUAGAGGAUGAUCAGCAACACUGGGACUGAGACACGGCCCAGACUCCUACGGGAGGCAGCAGUGGGGAAUCUUAGACAAUGGGCGCAAGCCUGAUCUAGCCAUGCCGCGUGUGUGAUGAAGGCCUUAGGGUCGUAAAGCACUUUCGCCAGAGAUGAUAAUGACAGUAUCUGGUAAAGAAACCCCGGCUAACUCCGUGCCAGCAGCCGCGGUAAUACGGAGGGGGUUAGCGUUGUUCGGAAUUACUGGGCGUAAAGCGUACGUAGGCGGAUCAGAAAGUAGGGGGUGAAAUCCCGAGGCUCAACCUCGGAACUGCCUCCUAAACUCCUGGUCUUGAGUUCGAGAGAGGUGAGUGGAAUUCCAAGUGUAGAGGUGAAAUUCGUAGAUAUUUGGAGGAACACCAGUGGCGAAGGCGGCUCACUG